GGGUCAGUAGGUCGGUCGUGCCACUGGUAUGAACUGGUUUUACUGAUUCCUCCCUCUUGAUGAACCUUAAUGCCAUUAAUUUGGUGUUUUGGGGAAUUUGGACUGUUACUUUGAAAAAAUUAGAGUGUUUAAAGCAAGCUAACGCUUGAAUACAUUAGCAUGGAAUAAUGAAAUAGGACGUUCGAUCCUAUUUUGUUGGUUUCUAGGAUUGACGUA
rnacentral:rRNA from 1 species